rnacentral:lncRNA from 1 species
UUCUUUUCUUCAAAUUUAUACAUUAGUCAUGUCUAAAAAUGUAUAUCUCAUUUUAUACCUACAGUCGAUCAUCUCUCUGCUAAGAGACAAGAAUCAUGCAUCAAGUCCCAUUUUUUUUUCAAAACAAUAAUAUUCUUUCAUUAAUUUUGUAUGGCUGGGAGCCAUGGAAUAUCAGAGUCUCUGAAGUAUUAUGGCUGCAGAUCAAUCAAAGGAUGUACAGUGGGUGUGAAUAAAUUACACUACAUUAUGAAUGAGGAAUUGUGCAGGAGAAGCUAUGCAAAAAAUUUCAUCAGAAGGACGGAUAGACUGUCACAUGAGAGUGUUGGGGUAAACUAAUGGAUGGCCUGUGAAUACCGGACAGCAGACUCCUAUCACCUGGGCAUUUCCUAAUGGAGGAAUUAUAAAAGGACAAGACAGAAAUCUCAGAAGAGUGGCAACAGUGCGGCUCUGGAUUCAUGGAUGAUUUCAUAGAUUCAUGGAUGUCGGCAGUAGCAAAUUCUUCCAGCCAAGACUUGAUGACCAGCUCUACGUAUAGUCUUCAACCAUCCAGGUCCCCUAAGCCCAUGAUGGUGAACCUAUGGCAUGAGUGCCAGAGAGAUCAAGCAGAGCUCUUUCUGUGGUGCUGUCUCCCACCAGAAUUUGUUACUAGAAAGACAGAAGGACUUGGUUGGAGCUUCUCCCUUUUCUCUCUCCACUGUGCCUGACAACAUUUUUUCACAUCAGCCACACCUCUGCCCAGCAGCCCAAUGGGAAGGCUUAUGCCCUUCCCCUCUCUACCUAGGCUGAGGAGAUUCCUCACUUCACCCCUGUGAAGUGUGUGGGGUAAGGGGAGGGGGAGGAAGAGUACAUAUGGCACUUGGUUUGGGUAGGGUGGGGCAUGGCACACAGUCUUUAAAAGGUUCAUCAUCACUGCCCUAAAGCCAUAAGCUCUCAGGCCUAGGCCCUGCAAGAUGAAUGUGGCAACAAACACAAUAUGACCCUAAAGAGAUCAUCAUCCUCUGAGACUCUUGACUAGUUGUCUGGCUUUUCCUGCCCUCACUUCCCAUGGUUUUAUUUACUUAAUUUUUUGGAGGCAAGGAAGAGAAAGCUGAGUUGUACCUUUUUUGCUGGAGUUUUGACAUUUGACAUCUGACAUUAAAUGCAAAAUUCACACCCAUGGAGGGAUAUGUCUGCCUUUCUUCUCCAAAC